CCUCUGUAGUGAGUAGUGGGCAUAUUCAUCCUUUCUAACGGUACCAUGAACUGGGCGUCCCCAUCAUGGGAUGGGGAAACAGAGACUCAGUAGCCGUCUCUAUAAGGAGCCUGGGAUCCUCUGCGGGUUCCAUCAUUGGUAUGCUGUGUGUCUUCGAGCCUGUCUUGGGCCUCAGUCUCCUGAGCUGUGAAAUGGGAAUUGUUUACUUGGUGGGAGAACAAUGGCUGCCUGCGGGAUCCCCGGGUUCAGGGUUGUGACUUCCCUGAUAGCUAGGUACCUUCAUUGGGUUGUUCUUCUCCACCACGCCAUCCCGGUCUGCGUCCACAUCCAAGGAGAUCUCUGCGGAAAAGAGACAUGGUAGAGACAGGGUUUCACCAUGUCGGCCAGGAUGGUCUCAAUCUCCUGAUCCCAUGAUCCACCUGCCUUGGCCUCCCAAACUGCUGGGAUUACAGGCAUGAGCCACUGCACCCAGCCUGAGAAACUGCAUUUUUAACAAGCUCCCAGGUGAUGUUGAUGCUGACGGUCCAGGGACCACAGUUUGACAACCACUGAGUUGGACAAGGGAGGAGAGAGAGGAGAAGAGAUCUCCAAGCAACAGGACAGCUUGCGUGAUGGCCCGAGGUGGAGCCUCUGCCUGGGGAAUCCCAGGGAAGGGAUUCCUCCCACCUCCACCUCAGGGACGCAGAUGGAACCAGGAGACCGCUUGGCACAGGCAAAGGGACGGUGUUCGCAUCAUUCCUGUGUCCUGAGGCUCCUGCAGACCUCAGGAUCUGGAUCCUGGCCUCUGUCCACCAGGGAGGAAAAGAAGACCCCUGCCUUCUUGAGAACUCUCACUCCCUUUGACAGAAGCUUAAGCUGAGGGAGGGACAGAAGAAGCUAUUCCCGAGGCCCAGCUUGUGGGAGAGGGUGACCACCCUGCUACCUACUUUACUCCGAGGGUGCCCCCUCUCUAGUCCUUCCAGAUUCCGGGAAUGCCCGUGCCUCCAGUGUUCAUGAGACAUAGGUGGCCAGGAUGGAACCGACCUAGGUUCCCUUCUGUGCCCUCUCUCCAACUUCAAGACCGAAUCAGAUGGGGACCAAGGCCAGCCCCCCUGAAGAAGUGGCUAUCAGCUAAAGGCACCACUGGAGGAGAGUGUGUGGGCCAGGCAUACCUGUGCCAAGACUAAGAUGAGUGUAUUUGGGAAGAGCAGAAGGAAACAGCAAAUAUCUUUAACAACAAUCACAAAAUACAGUCUCUAAGAAACACACUACUUCCUUCUUUCUGUGUAUGUAUUCAUUGCUUGCUGGAGACCAGCAGUCAGAAUGCGGCUGGGUCAAGGCAUCCAUCCUCAAAGGAGCCAGUUUUGCUAGGAGAGCGUGGGUGGCCCAGAGCACCCCUGCCCUUGGUGGCCUGGAUGACAGCUCAUGGGGCAGCAAAGUGGUCGAUUGUUCAUAACCGUGACCUCGAAUAUAUAAUUUCUACUGGACACAAGUCUUUCCUCGUGUUCUCUGAUCGAUCCUCAUUUGGGUCAGUGGAGGCUCAGAGAAGUAAAAUGAUUUGGUCAAGGUCACACAGCUGUGGAUGGAAGCUGGUACAGCAGUGCCUGCCAGGACCACAAGGUCCAUUGAGGAAUGGGGCUGGGGAGGCCCCUGCUGUGUGUGUGCAGGGGAACAGGCCAUGUCUGCAUUACAGGAAAGGGAGCCCAGAGCCCUUGGGGAAGGGAGUGGGUGUUGAGGCCGGUUCACUCACCUUCAGGACUCAGAAGGAGUGAGGGUCAGGACGCCACUCCCUAAUAAACUGGGCCCAGCACCCUCCGGGCCUUGUGCCUUGGGGUCUACUUGGAGGCUCUGGGGGCAUCCCUUGGAGUUUUGAGCCAAGACCUGUGUCUGGGAUGGGAAGGACUCAGGGAAAUGUGGAAGGCCAAAUGGGAGUUGGUGAAGUCUCUGGGGACAGCGGGCUCAUGGCCAGGGUGGAAGAGACACAGGCUGAGAGAGUUGUCCAGUUCAACCUGCUGGUUUCAGGGUCACAUAGGACAGAGCGGGGAAUAAGAGCAUGAGUUCUGAGUCAGACAGACCUGGACCUGAGUCCUGUGUGACACUGGACGAAUGGCUUCAUCUCUCUGAGCCUCACCUUUGUCAUCUGUAAAAUGGGAUGGUCAGAGUCUACGGUGAGAAAUAAAGGAGGUGGUGGUUUCAGUUCCUAUGUGCCCACUAACACCUCCUCCUGUUGUCAGUGCUGACAGCUGCUCUCAUGACUACAUAAUUCGAGUAACAAAGCAGUAACAACUCAAGCUCCUUAGACCUGGGAGUGGCUUCCUUCCACUGGACCAGUGAGUCUCAACUGGCUGUGAUUUUGCCCCCACACCCCAUGCCAGGGGACUGCUGGCACUGUCUGGAGACAUUUUUGGUCAUCACAAUUUGGGGGUUGCUACUGUCAUCCAGGAGACAGAGGUCAGGGAUGCCACUAAAUAUCCUACUGCAACAAAGAAACGUUGAGCCGACACUGAGAACUCUGCACUAGGCCUGUGCUGUCCAGGAUGGUGGCUGCCAGCAUGGUGGCCAGUGAGCACCUGAGAUGCGCUCAGUCUACGCUGAGAUGUGCUGAAGUGUAAAAUGUGCACUGGAAGGCUGGGUGCAGUGGCUCAUGCUUGUAAUCCCAGCACUUUAGGAGGCCGAGGUGGGUGGAUCACUUGAGGCCAGGAAUUUGAGACCAGCCUGGCCAACAUAGUGAAAUGUUGUGUCUACUAAAAAUACAAAAAUUAGCCGAGUGUGGUAGCAGGUAGUUGUCCCAGCUACUUAGGAGGCUGAGGCAUGAGAAUCACUUGAACCUGGGAGGCAGAGGUUGCAGUGAGCUGAGAUUGCGCCACUGCACUCUAGCCUGGGUGACAGCAAGACUCUGCCUCAAAAAAAAAAAAAAAAAAAAAAAAAAAGUACACUGGAUUACAAAGACUUAGCAUGAAAAAAAAAAAAGAAUGUAAACCAUUUGAUUAAUAACUUUUAUAUUGAUUACAUGUUGAAAUAGUAAUAUUUUAAA